GAAACCCAAAAGAUCGAAGUCGGGAGAUUCAUCGUCGACGGCGAUGGCUACCGUUGGUGCGCGAUGCUCCGGGUAGGCCCUUGCGGUUCCACUUGCGUGUGGCACACCACCUUCGGAUCGAACGUUCCGGCGUCGUAGUCGUGCACUUCUCCCCUAGUAGGACGUCGUGACCCGUUGUGUGUCGGUCUACGGCCCGAGUGGGCGCCUGUCGANUCGUUUCGGCGCACGCGGCAGACCCUCGGUCGCCCGGCCGGCUGCACGACGGUACACUCACGGUAUCGGGCAGCAACCAGUCCAUUCUCGAAUGUGUGUGCGUCCAACCCGCCGCAAGCUCGGUCAGUUCUUACCCGGAGGUACGGACCCUGUGCCGUCCCCGGGCCUGGCCAGCUGUUAGCAGGCGGUGUCCUCGGACUGGCCAAAUCUCAGAUUACCGAUCAGCGACGCUAUUGCUUUGGGUACUCUCAGGACCCGUCUUGAAACACGGACCAANGUGUCUAUCAUGUGCGCGAGUCAUUGGGAUGCAUAAACCUAAAGGNGAAAUGAAAGUGAAAGUCGGCCUCCGCGUCGAUCGAGGGAGGAUGGGCCGCGUAACCAUGCGGNCUCGCACUCCCGGGGCGUCUCGUUCUCAUUGCGAGAAGAGGCGCACGUAGAGCGUA
rnacentral:rRNA from 1 species